rnacentral:rRNA from 1 species
ACGCCUAACACAUGCAAGUCGAACGAAGUAGCAAUACUUAGUGGCAGACGGGUGAGUAACAUGUAGGUAUCUGCCCUAUGGCCUGGAAUAACACGAGGAAACUUGUGCUAAUACCGGAUAAGUCUUUACGGAGAAAGCUUUAUGCACCAUUGGAUGAGCCUGCACUUGAUUAGUUUGUUGGUAGGGUAAUGGCCUACCAAGACUUUGAUCAAUAGCUGAUUUGAGAGGAUGAUCAGCCACAUUGGGACUGAGACACGGCCCAAACUCCUACGGGAGGCAGCAGUGGGGAAUCUUGCACAAUGGAGGAAACUCUGAUGCAGCGAUGCCGCGUGAGUGAAGAAGGCCUUUGGGUUGUAAAGCUCUUUCGUCGGGGAAGAAAAUGACUGUACCCGAAUAAGAAGGUCCGGCUAACUUCGUGCCAGCAGCCGCGGUAAUACGAAGGGACCUAGCGUAGUUCGGAAUUACUGGGCUUAAAGAGUUCGUAGGUGGUUGAAAAAGUUGGUGGUGAAAUCCCAGAGCUUAACUCUGGAACUGCCAUCAAAACUUUUCAGCUAGAGUAUGAUAGAGGAAAGCAGAAUUUCUAGUGUAGAGGUGAAAUUCGUAGAUAUUAGAAAGAAUACCAAUUGCGAAGGCAGCUUUCUGGAUCAUUACUGACACUGAGGAACGAAAGCAUGGGUAGCGAAGAGGAUUAGAUACCCUCGUAGUCCAUGCCGUAAACGAUGUGUGUUAGACGUUGGAAAUUUAUUUUCAGUGUCGCAGCGAAAGCGAUAAACACACCGCCUGGGGAGUACGACC